UCANAGGNAAAUUCUUGGUUNGCCGGAANACAAACUAUUGCGAAAGCAUUUGCCAAGGAUGUUUUCAUUGAUCAAGAACGAAGGAAGGGGGAUCGAAAACGAUCAGAUACCGUUGUAGUCUCUUCUGUAAACUAUGCCAAUUGGGGAUNAGNUUAGGAUUCUUAAUGACUNNUUUNGCACCCGAAGAGAAAUCUUUAAAUGAGGUUCGGGGGGGAGUAUGGUCGCAAGGCUGAAACUUAAAGGAAUUGACGGAAGGGCACCACCAGGUGUGGAGCCUGCGGCUUAAUUUGACUCAACACGGGGAAACUCACCAGGUCCAGACACAAUAAGGAUUGACAGAUUGAUAGCUCUUUCUUGAUCUUGUGGUUGGUGGUGCAUGGCCGUUCUUAGUUGGUGGAGUGAUUUGUCUGGUUAAUUCCGAUAACGAACGAGACCUUAACCUGCUAAAUAGACCAGCCGGCUUUGGCUGGCUGCUGUCUUCUUANAGGGACUAUCAGCGUUUAGCUGAUGGAAGUUUGAUGCAAUAACAGGUCUGUGAUGCCCUUAGAUGUUCUGGGCCGCACGCNCGCUACACUGACAGANCCAGCGAGUCUACCACCUUGGCCGGAANGCCUGGGUAAUCUUGUGAAACUCUGUCGUGAUGGGGAUAGAGCAUUGCAAU
rnacentral:rRNA from 1 species